rnacentral:hammerhead_ribozyme from 11 species
CUGCGGUCGAGGACUGCGCCUACCUGAUGAGCCCCAAGAAGGGCGAAACCGGUC